rnacentral:rRNA from 1 species
CCUACGGGAGGCUGCAGUGGGGAAUAUUGGACAAUGGGCGAAAGCCUGAUCCAGCCAUGCCGCGUGUGUGAAGAAGGCCUUCGGGUUGUAAAGCACUUUCAGUGGGGAAGAAAGCCUUGGGGCUAAUACCCUCGAGGAAGGACAUCACCCACAGAAGAAGCACCGGCUAACUCCGUGCCAGCAGCCGCGGUAAUACGGAGGGUGCGAGCGUUAAUCGGAAUUACUGGGCGUAAAGCGCGCGUAGGCGGUCUGAUAAGCCGGUUGUGAAAGCCCCGGGCUCAACCUGGGAACGGCAUCCGGAACUGUCAGGGUAGAGUGCAGGAGAGGAAGGUAGAAUUCCCGGUGUAGCGGUGAAAUGCGUAGAGAUCGGGAGGAAUACCAGUGGCGAAGGCGGCCUUCUGGACUGACACUGACGCUGAGGUGCGAAAGCGUGGGUAGCAAACAGGAUUAGAUACCCCAGAGUC